GGCCAUUCUCGGGUGAUGCACCCCAGAAUUGGGCUCCCUCCUCUCUGGUUCUGGGGUGUGUCACCUGAGAACCACC
rfam:Myotis davidii contig26076, whole genome shotgun sequence.